AUCAACGCUGGCGGCGUGCCUAACACAUGCAAGUCGAACGAGAAACGGGAGCAAUCCAUGUGAGUACAGUGGCGUACGGGUGAGUAACACGUGACUAUACCUACCCAGCGAGUGGGGGAUAACCUGCGGGAAACCUAGGCUAAUACCGCAUAACAUCGAGAGAUCAAAGGAGCAAUCGCUUGAGGAGGGGGUCGCGGCUGAUUAGCUAGCUGGUGAGGGUAAGGCCUCACCAAGGCGAUGAUCGGUAUCCGGCCUGAGAGGGCGCACGGCCACACUGGCACUGAAACACGGUCCAGACUCCUACGGGAGGCAGCAGUGGGGAAUCUUGCAGCAAUGGGGGAAACCCUGAUGCAGCGACGCCGCGUGAGCGAUGAAGUCCUUCGGGGUGUAAAGCUCUUUCGGACAGGGACGAUAUGACGGUACCGGAAGAAGAAGCUGCGGCUAACUACUGUGCCAGCAGCCGCGGUAAUACAGUAGGGCAGCGAGCGUUGUUCGGAAUUACUGGGCGUAAAGAGUGCGUAGGCGGUUUGCGGUAAGUUGGUAGUGAAAUCUCCUGGCUUAACUGGAGUGUGCUCUAGAAACUGGAAGGCUGGAGUAUGGGAGAGGUGAGCGGAAUUCCUGGUGUAGCGGUGAAAUGCGUAGAUAUCAGGGAGGAACACCUGCGGUGUAAGACGGCUUACUGGACCAUAACUGACGCUGAUGCGCGAAAGCGUAGGGGAGCAAACAGGAUUAGAUACCCUGGUAGUCCUACGCCCUAAACGAUGCAUAGCUUGGUGUGGGUAUUCAAUUCUAGCCGUGCCGGAAGCUAACGCGAUUAAGUAAUCCGCCUGGGGAGUACGGUCGCAAGGACUGAAACUCAAAGGAAUUGACGGGGGCCCGCACAAGCGGAGGAGCAUGUGGUUAAUUCGACGCAACGCGAAGAACCUUACCUGGGCUCGAACUGCUAGUGGCAGCGGGUAGGAAAUACUGCCCUCCCGCAAGGGACUGAUAGUCUAGGUGCUGCAUGGCUGUCGUCAGCUCGUGUCGUGAGAUGUUGGGUUAAGUCCCGCAACGAGCGCAACCCUUAUCCUGUCAGUUGCAACUAUAGUGGCACUCUCAGGAGAACCGCCAUCGGAUAACGGGGAGGAAGGUGGGGAUGACGUCAAGUCAUCAUGGCCUUUAUGUCCAGGGCUACACACGUGCUACAAUGGAUCGGUACAAACCGCUGCAAACCCGCGAGGGGGAGCAAAUCGGAAAAAACCGUUCUCAGUUCGGAUUGCAGGCUGCAACUCGCCUGCAUGAAGCUGGAAUCGCUAGUAAUGGCAUAUCAGAACGAUGCCGUGAAUACGUUCCCGGGCCUUGUACACACCGCCCGUCACAUCACGAAAGUGGAUUGUACUAGAAGUCUGCGCGCCAACCGCAAGGAGGCAGCGGCCCAAGGUAUGAUUCAUGAUUGGGGUG
rnacentral:rRNA from 1 species